rnacentral:lncRNA from 1 species
UUGGCUGAGAAAAAAAUUCCAUCUCAGUAUUUUCUUCUGCAAGUUCUACAGGAUCUUUCUGGAACUCUUGAAAUGUGAUUCUUUCACAUUCCUUAUGAAACAUAUGAUCACGCUGUUUGGCAAGAUUCUUCAAAGGGGAAGAGUGAAGGUGAGUAGAAGACUGGUGACUUUGGAACCUGCUACUUUCUAAUGGCAGCUCAGCAUCCUCUAACAUAUCCACAUCAAAAGAAUCUAGCAACAAAAAGAAAACUUAAUAUGUCAGCACAGAGGAAUAAAAAAAAGUUUUUCUGGAGAAAUCAAUGGAAAAAUUAACUAAUGAAAAAGUUAUUCCUCUAGCAUCCACAAGAUAUUAUGCCGCAUUAAAUGAAAUAAUUCUAAUAUAAAGGGGAUGAAGAACUUGACACAGAUAGAUUUUUGACGUACAAAAGUAUGAAAGGUACCUCCAGCAGAUAUGAUGUUGUUAUGUUUAUUCAACAUUUCAUCUUUUCCAAAUUUAUUGGCUGUGCAACUCAUGGAUACUCCUGGAAAUUUCAGUCAUUAAGAAUCACUUCUUGACCCAUUAUAUGAAUGCAACAACCAUAGCAAGCAAUUUUCAUGAGAGUGAGUAUACCAUGCGCUAUUUUUUUCAUCCAUGCAGAACGGAUAGCCCGCUCAAUGAAGGCAAGUACAGGUUCCCAGUCCUGGAACAAGAGCGAACAGACAGAGCUCAAUAGCCCCAAAAAAGCUAAAUAAAUAAACCACUUGAGGAUGUUAAUAAAUAUACAUAAUUAGGUCACAAUUCAUGAUCAGACAUGAAAUUCAUUACCUUGAAUACAACAUGUGUCUUUAAUGGGUCAAAGGUCAAAUCAUAGAGAGAAUGUGGGCAACGUAAAUUUAACAGGUAAGCUGGACAUGCUUGAGACUUACUUCUCUUUCCUUUAAGGAAUCCAUUAUUGGCCUUCCAUGAAUCCGAACAAUCAAAACUAGCAGCCAAAUGAUUCAACAACUUGUGGAUGGACCCUUUGCAUACAUACCUUGAAUUAAUAUCUGACAUUAUGAAGGUCUACAAAAAACCCGCUUCCGCUUCCGUUUGUACUUGAAGCACCCAGUCGAUGAUUCACAUCUUUCCUCGCCGCCAGAAAACAGAGCCCCACCAAGUGGCGGGCUUCCUUGUGAAAAGCAGCUUUGAUGAAGAGGCUUUUUGAUGUCCUUGCUAACCUCAAAUUCAUUGCUAAAUUCAUCCUUAUCUAAAGGUGAUGCGGUACCUGACGCUCCAUUGCUCACACCAGGUUCAAUUUGAAGGUAUUCAUACCCCCGUUGUGAAUUCAAAAGGUCACCCUCCACUGGAAUGCUGGAUCUUCCAUCAGCCAAAAAGCAAGUCUCCAAGAAAUAACUUCCUUUUAAUGAAAAUCUGUUACCAGAUGUCCAUCCAUGGAGGUCAAUCUUCCGGAGUACUGGGGAUAAGCAUUCAGCAAACGGACAAUCCAACAAUUUAGAUGAGUAUUUGGGCUGAGAAACAAGUUCCCUCUUAGAAUUUUCCUCUUCAAGUUCUGGAGUAUGUUUCUCAAACUCUCCAAAUAUGAUUCUUUCACAUUCCUCACGAAACAAAUGAUCACCCUCUUUGGAAAGAUUCUCCAAAGGAGAAGAGUAAAGGUGAGGAGAAGACUGAUGAUAUUGGAACCUGCUACUUUCUAUUGUCCAAGCAUGGCGGUCAAUCUUCCAGGGCACUAUGGGCAAGCAUUUGGCAAAUGAACCAUCCGACAACCCAAAAGAAUAUUUUGGCUGAGGAACAUACUCCAUUUCAGUAUUUUCCUCUUGAAGCUCUGCCGGAUCUUUCUCAGCAUCUCCAAAUGUGAUUCUUUCACAUUCCUUACGAAACAAAUGAUCUCCCUCUUUUUUAAGAUUCUCCAAAGGGGGAGAGAAAAGGUGGCGAGAAGGCUGAUGAUCUUGGAACCAGCUACUUUCUAUUGUCCACACUCGGUGGUCAAUCUUCGGGGGCACUAUGGGUAAGCAUUCAGCAAAUGAACCAUCCAACAAACUGGAAGAGUGUUUUGGCUGAGAAAAAAAUUCCAUCUCAGUAUUUUCUUCUGCAAGUUCUACAGGAUCUUUCUGGAACUCUUGAAAUGUGAUUCUUUCACAUUCCUUAUGAAACAUAUGAUCACGCUGUUUGGCAAGAUUCUUCAAAGGGGAAGAGUGAAGGUGAGUAGAAGACUGGUGACUUUGGAACCUGCUACUUUCUAAUGGCAGCUCAGCAUCCUCUAACAUAUCCACAUCAAAAGAAUCUAGCAACAAAAAGAAAACUUAAUAUGUCAGCACAGAGGAAUAAAAAAAAGUUUUUCUGGAGAAAUCAAUGGAAAAAUUAACUAAUGAAAAAGUUAUUCCUCUAGCAUCCACAAGAUAUUAUGCCGCAUUAAAUGAAAUAAUUCUAAUAUAAAGGGGAUGAAGAACUUGACACAGAUAGAUUUUUGACGUACAAAAGUAUGAAAGGUAC